AAUAUCCAUGUGUUUGUGGAGUUCCUGCAGCCACCUGUCCCUGGGAGAGUCACCCUCCCUAUUAACAAUGUGCUCCUUGAGCCCCUUGGAGCAUGCCGGCUUCAGUACCACCUACCACGAAGUGCAUAGAGAAACGCAGGGAUUUGAGGGUUUUUUACUCAAAUCUGACCUUGAACUGCCUGGUCAUAACCAUGGGGAACGAUAAAGACCUGCAGAGCAGAUUUAAGUCCACUCUCAGAUCUAAACGGAUGCAUUUGAUGUGGGAGAAUACCUAAUAAGCAUAAAUCAAACAGCCAUUUUUUUCCUUUCAGCCAGCUUGGCUAUGAAAGUAACUAUUCAUCCACAAGCAUAUUGUAGUUAAAUAUACUGCACUCCUGCUGCGAUUCUUUGCUAACAACGGUCAUUGUCAUAAAACUAAGAUAGCAGUGAAAUCGCAAGGGUCUGCUCUGCUGUUGACAUAUGUGCUGCUCUCAAUUAAAUAACAAUUGGAAUUACAAGCAUGCAAUGAUGGUAGGAUAGAGCACUUCAUUACUGACUAAUAACCUAUAUUUCAAUAGCAUUCUUGAUUUAAACCCACAAAAGGAAGGAAAUGUAGUGCUUUAACCUCCUCUUCCUUGCCAACGCGCUCUGGUACCUAGCAGGCAUUUUCUAUCCAAAUAUGAUUUUGUGAACUGGACAGCUAUGUCUAAGUUUGCUGACCAGCUGCCUGAAGCCUCAAGGGAGGCAUUUGGGGCAUUUAUUACCAAUGACUGCUUGGUGGGUAAGACUUCUUUGCAGUCUGCACUAGAUGUCGCGGAUACUUUGGCCAGAGUGAUGGCCUCAGUGGGAACCAAUGAAAAGGGCAUCCUGGCUGCAGAAUUCAGGCAUUGACUCCAAUGUACAACAGGCCAUAGAAGAUUUGCCCUUCGAUGGCAGAAUUUAUUUUGUCGAACAAGACAGACGAGACUCUGCACUCCUCCAAGGACUCUAGAGCUGCCCUAUGGUCCAAGGGGGUGUAUAUGGUGGCAGUGCAGAGAUGCCCCUAUAGUGGUCAACAACAGCAUCCUCUGUAGCUCACAUUUGGGAAGACUUUCCCUCCCACAAGACAGCAGAACUACCCCAGAAAGGAACACAGGUCCCAGAGGAGGACACAUUCUGGUCCAGGUUUUGACCAGUUAAUAUGCCUUGCCCCAGCACCCCCCAAGCACCCAUUUUUACUCCUUGGUCCAGAGCAGUGUUCCAGUUAUUGCUCCCUUCUCCCCAUCCCCUCUCUUUGCGUACAGGCUGGCUUGCUUUUACAAUGCUUGGGGCUCAAUCACACAGAAGGCUCGGUCUUAAGCAUCAUCAGAUUGGGCUAUGCCAUCCAGUUCCUCUCCAUCUCCCUGCUCCCUCCAGGAUCCCUCUCAUGAGAUAUUGCUCCUCAAGCAGGUUCACUCUCUACAGGCUUUGGGGGCAGUGAAGGAGGUUCCACCAGAACACGUGGUGGGGGUGGGGGGUGUCACAACUUCUAUUCCUUGUACUUUCUGGUGCCAAAAUCCAAGGGAGGAGCAAGACCCAUUCUCAACCUUCGUGGCUUCAACAAAUAUAGCAAAUACAUGAGGUGCUGAACAGUCACUCUAUCAACCACCGUCCCUGCAUUGUCUCAGAAUGACUGCUUUGUUGCUCUGGACCUUCAGGACGCUUUCAUGUGAUGAUUUUGCCAAGCCACAGAAAAUUCCUUCAGUUCAUUGUAGUGAGUGACACUUCCAGUGUAUGGUGCUUCCCUUCAGUGGUUCAGAUACUUAUCGACAAUACCACCAUAAUGUAGUAUAUGAACAGGCAAGGAGGAGCACAUUCCAGUAGGCAAACUGGUUGUGGCAGUUCUGCAUCAAAGAGAGUGUGAUCUCCGACAGCCAACCACUUGCCCAGGGUCCAGAAUCAUCUCACAGACCAUCUCAUCGGGAAUUUUCCCCUGAAACACGAGUGGUUUGUGAAGACAGGUGUUCUCUGGAUCAUCUUCACAGCGUGGGGCAUUCUGAAGAUUGAGGGCCAUGAGGGACAACAGAAAAUAUUAUCUGUUAUGUUCUUGAGUGGGCCACAGUCCAGGGUCCCUGUCUGACACUUUCCAUCUCAGUCAGCUCUCCUGUACACUUUUCCCCUGGAUCCCAAUCAUCCCACAGGUCAUCCUCAAGCUGAAGGCAGAUCGAGCCAAGCUCAUUCUCAUUGCCCUAGUGUGAUUCUUCGACCUUCUAAUGCUGUCAGUUCAGCCUCCCAUACCUCUUCCUCUCCAUUCCAACGUACUCAUACAGAAUCACAGUCACACUUUGUAUCCUGCACUGAGCUCCCUGCAUCUCACGGCAUGGCUGCUUCAUGGCUAAAUGAGGAGGAAAAGCAGGGCCGUCAAUGCCUGCAUCUGUCACCUAAUCAUCGCCGCUGGAGACCAACACAUCAAAUAGGAGGAUGAGGGCCAGGGCUGGGGGACUGGUAUUGUGACAGAGAUCGUUCCCACGGUGUGGGGGGUGAGGAUCUGCGCCAAGAAGACAACCAGCGGGAGAGUGAACAGUGCCGGCGAUACACUGUGCCUCCCCCUAGGCAACCCACGUUGAGAGGUCGGAGACCACGAUCGUGGUACCAGUAAUCUUGGGCAAGCCAGAGAGGAACUGGGCUGCAAAGCCGAAGAUCUGCAGUACGGAAUUGGAGAGCACUGCCUCAGCUCUGGGAAUCAGCAGCGCUCAACUGCCCUCUGGGGGGGGGGUCCUGAUAUCUGGCUUGACCUCACAGGGAGCCUUUGCCGCUUCCAGUGGCACUGGUAGAGGUCUCUGCUCUCUAGGCGCUGGGAGAGCUUGGGAAGGUGUCAGCCCUGCCACAAGUCUGGGUCCCACACCACUCCUGGGAGUCACUGGUGGAUUCCUUGGGGGGCUACCAGCACUGAAUGGGGAGGCACAAUACCCCAUGGCUUUCUUCCCUGGUGCCGGGGAGCCAUGCUUCUUGGCCCUCUUUUUGGGCACCGGUGACGGAGAGCAGUGCCAGGCAGAGCCCGGUGCUGGGGUGUGCUACGCACCGAGGCUGAGGUACUGGGGUAGAGUCCGGGCAGGAAGGCUCAGAAGCCGGGCAGAGAGCAGCCUCCAUGACAAGGGCCUUCAGAUGGAUGUCAUGCUCUUUCUGGGUCCUGGCUCAAAAGUUAUUGCAAAUGCAACACUUGUCCUUCACAUAUGACUCCCCCAAGCACUUCAGGCAGCUGCUGUGGGGGUCCCUUACAGGCAUAGGCCUGUUUCAGUCCGAGCAAGACUUAAAUCCCGGAGAUCGGUGCAUGCCUUGCAUGGGGCAAAGUCCCCGAUCAAACUCUAACUUCUAACUACACUUACCAACUACUUAACACUAAUAAACUACUUACAAGACCCUAAGGUUGGACCUAGUCUUUGCUAGGCAAGGAAAAGAUGCUUUGACUAACCACCACAGGCGGUAAGAAGGAACUGAGAGGGCCUAGGGCUAGCGGCACCUAAUACACAACUGCAUGAGUGCUGCACUCAGGAGGGCAUCACAGCCGACCCUACAGAUACCACUAAGGCAAAAAUCUCCAACGGCCGCGCACGUGGGCGUGCACACAUUAGGAAUGGAAUGGACAUGAGCAAGCACUUGAAGAAUAUUAGCUUCUGUAAAGACAUGAAACAAGGAUGUGUAUUCUGCUAUUUUAAUUUAUGACAUGGUGCCCAGUGCCUUGGAUGGGUGCCUUUCUGUAUGUUCGUAUAAAUAAAUAUACACAAAGCUCUUGCCAAAAAGGAUGCUAAUAAACAUCUUGUUAAAGUGUGCAUUUGUAAUGUCUAAAUCAUAGUCAAAGGGAGCUGAGCCAGAUACAUUUAUUAAUAUAUAGAAAUCAAAUAAAAGCUAAAAUAAAUUAUGAUUUCUUAAUUUUGCUAUCAUGAUUUCUUAACCUUAAAGGCUGCACUACUGUUAGUUUUUGCAUUUAAAACUUCUGUGGCAUGUAAGAAAAAGAAGAAAUGAUAUAAUUAAAAUGAGGGCUACCCUGAGGGAGACCUACACAUCCCAUUGCCCUCAUUCCAAAUGGAAGAGGUCGUCACAGAACAGCAGAAAUUUGCCAGUAGCAAACGUUCAUAACAUUAAGACUACUGAACAAAUUCUCCUUCAUGUUAGAGAUCUUUUUCCUUCCUCAUAAACUAUAAAACAGAGGCUAAAUAAUGGCUUUGAGCAUUGUGUCAGAGGGAGCAACUAAGCACUUGGGCAAUAGAGGGAGAAAGCAGUGUAACUGUGAAAGCCACUGCAGUACAGGCAGCAGUGGCUCUUUCUCCUCUUGUCAGGAAGGUGUAGCAUGCACUCCACCAUAUUCCCCUGCUGGCAUGGCAGGUGUGAGGCUAGAACCCUAACCAGAGACAGCCCUUCUGGGCCGGCUAGUACUAUUAGAAGAGCUACAUUUGUACUUUCCAAGUAAUAGCAGACAAAUUAAGGCUCCCUUUUGCAUGAACACAGGGAAAGGGCAACCUGCACCUUCUCCGCUACGUAGUGCCCAAGACUAACCAUAGAAAACAAGGUUUUUAUAUUAGCCUCUUGUUUUUUGCAAGUACAAAAACUUUCAACUGGAACAUGCAGAAGUGGGGAUGUGUUUAUACCUGCAAGCAAAGCUCCAAAAAGGGAAUGAAUAGAUUUUAGGGUGUUCCAAAACCAAGAUGUAUUUUUGGAUUAAAAAUUUCAGUAAAUCCACAAACCCCAGAUUACAAUUUACAUAGAAGUUGUUUAAAAGAAAUCCCCAUCUUUCUCCUCCAAUGAAACAUCUACACUUCAUAAACAGAUACAAGGAGGGAAAUAUAUAGAUCAAGCUGGAGGCCAAACAUUUGAUUAUGUGUCUUUUUCAAAAUAAUGAUAUAACUUGGUGGUUUAACUGUAUUUUUUCAACAGCAGCAUCACUAUAAGUGGCAUUAGAGUUGGCAAAGCAUAAUAGAAACAACGCAUUCAUGACAGUGUAUACAUCAAUAUUAACACCCUUUAUGUCACUUACCUGACAGUAACGACUUCAUCUAUAAAUAGAGAAUUCAGUUCAGAAAGAUGCAACA